rnacentral:lncRNA from 1 species
GAAUAAAAUAAUUCUUCAAUUUUUUAAUAGUCCUAUUAUUAAUUAUUCCUAUAAAUUUCUUUUCUAUAUAUUUAAUAAAUCACGAUAGAACAUCGAUUAUAAUGACACAGGAAAAGAUUUAAUCGCAGCAAAAAGCGAACAUGUCUGUGGAUAAUUGUAUUACGUGCAGAAAUCCACAAUGAAUUGCGAACAAUUAAGGGGCCGGGAAUAAUUCGAUAUGUUCAUCUUCUCGCGUUAAUUGUAUGGCAUCGUGAUAAUUAAAUAUCAUGUGGCAAAUAAAUUAAGGAAGAAAUCGAGCAGCCAAGACAAACGUGUGAUUAUAAUCGCACGAAUGAUUUAAAAUACAUUGUAUUAUAACCUAAGCAAAUUUAUUGAUUAUCAAUACGAUUAGUGAAUCGAGUUAUCAGAACGAUAAACGAUUAAUCGAUCGUAUUCCUAAAAGUUAAUUUAAAUUUUACUUUUAUCAUUUGUAAAUUUAAUUAUUAAUAAUUAUAUCACAAUUGCAACGUGAACCAAUAUCUAAAAUUAUCUAAUUUGUCCCAUAACCUAUACAUAUUAAAUAUUUUUCUUACGAACCACUAAUAAACCAAUGUGAAAAUCCUUAGCUGGAUUAAGUCUGACGCGCAUAUUUUCUUUCUUCUCCUUAACUUUGUUCACAACAUUCUUAGGUUAGUUGAGUUACGAGCCAUUCUUCUCCGUGAAAAACGUUAAUAAAAUUCCUCGGGACGUUCCCGCACGCAGUGGCUGAUUAAAACGCGUAGUCGCGACGACGCGUGCGCGUCUAAUGCGCGCGCAGACAAAAGUGUCCCGACGCUGACGAUUUACGAGUUCGUUCACACUGUUCACACUCUCGUUGCAUAUUAGGCACGCCAUCAGUGCACAUGAAACUAACCUCUACACUGUUUUUCCUUGUAAAGAUGCACAAUAGCGCAUCUCGUUAAAUAAUCAGAGUUCUGUCUAGCGAUAAGCUGUAUAAAGGUGCAAUAACGCUUAUCUUAUGCGUUCUUUGCAUUAUUAAGAAAGGUUGCUGAAAAGACCAGGCUUUAUCCUCUUGCACGUGAAAAGGUUCAGAUCCCCUUUCAUACGAUUAUCGGCGAGGGGAGGAUCCCGCAAGGAUACCUCGUUCCGCCCGACCACGACGACGGCAUCGCAAGGAUUUUUCUCUCAUUAACGGCAUCAUUGAGCGGCUCUCGUGGAAGAAAGGAACGGUGAACGGUCUUCUCUCCGCAGCUUUAGUGUAAACGAACCUUUAUCUCAAUCCCUGGGCGCGUUACAUAUAAGGGAAUCGUAACGAGUAACGACAUUAGGCAUCGGGCUUUUGCCUGCGUACAUGGCAGCAGUCAGCUUAACCCCUCGCGCGGAGAUCCGGUUUUAUCAGCCAUAUUGGAUGCACGCGCGGUCAAUUGUGGACUUAAGAAGCGUGGGUCGGCCGACCCUGCCGAGACGACACCGGCCCGCUUUUUCUUCCACCUCACCUUCUUGUCCAUCUCCUCCCUUCUUUCCCCCGUGAUUCGGUCUAACUGUAGUGCGGAAUGCCGAGCGACGCGGAAUUGGCCGAGAAACGAGGGGAGGGGAGGGACACGGUUUCGAUGUCGAUGGAAAAAACAGAUUCGUAUUGGAUGGGAAAAGAUACGUAGGAAGUGUUGACAGGUGUGACUCUUUGAGGUUAUGUUUCUCAACAUAUCCAUCCAUCGUAACAAUCUCGUAAAUAUUUUCGAAUUUGUUUCUCGAUAUACUCGAUAUUGUUCGAGUACAUCUGAGUAUUUGUUGGAAGAGCAUCAGUUAGAUGAGAAUGUCGGCCGAAGAUAAUUCUGGAAACGAUAUUGCGUAUGAUUCAACAUGUGGGCGAAUGGGAUUAAAAAAGUAGAUACGUGAAACGCUACGAAGCUCGUAAACAUCCUCCGAGCAACGUGCUCUCGCUGUUGUUUAUUAUUAGGAAAAGGAUGUGCCCCGAUUCCGUUUAGAUAUUAAUUAUCAUACAUUUUUCUUCUCAAAAGAGAGAAACAGAAGAAGAAUCGAAAAUUGUUUCGAUGUUUACAGGAGAAAAUUAAUUUUAUUAGAAAAAUUGUGCAAUAUUUUUGAAUCGUACUGUACAAUGUACGGGGAGUACAAUACGUGGUCGCACCAGUUCCAGUUCCAGAUCUACUAUAAUCAACGUAUUAGAUUUCAAUAUAGAAAUCUUGGUUACGUAAAAUAAAUGCACAUGCGAGAGAUACAAGCGACCGCAAAACAAUACAAGCAACGAAGAACCGGACUUUCCACGCGAUUGAUAAUCCUUCUUGUUAUAUUAGCGAGCAUAGAUCCCCUUGUAAAAUGAUUUUCUCUUCAUUGUGCGAUAAGGAUUAAUUAUCUCUCUUUCGUUUAAUUACGAAGAUAAGAAUCUCGAUGCUUAUCUUCGUUCAAGAUGAGUUUAAUGUUUGAAAAUGGAUCGUUUAGUGCGCUAAAUUAAUUCAUGACGUUCGGUGUGCUUUAUUGAUAUAAAAUAAAAACAGGUUUGAGCGAAUUCUAAAUACAAACGAAUAGAACUUAUGAUAUAUAAAUUAUGAAUAUUGAAUUACAACAAUUAAUAAACAUAAGGCUAAAAAAACAGAGAAGGAUUUCUUUUAAUUUAAAUUAUAAAAGAUUCCAGACUAUCAAAUAAUUGGAAAUAAAUUGAUUCACGGAAUCAAUUGAUAGAAAAAUCAUUCUUAAACUUCAUGAUUUUGAAUCUGAAUUUUUCAAAGCUUCCAAAACAAGUUUGAGCGAAUUCUAAAUACAAAAGAAUAGAACUUAUGAUAUAUAAAUUAUGAAUAUUGAAUUAACAAUUAAUAAAAAUAAGGUUAAAAAAACAGAGAAGGAUUUCUUUUAAUUUAAAUUACAAAAGAUUGCAGACUAUCAAAUAAUUGGAAAUAAAUUGAUUCACGGAAUCAAUUGAUAGAAAAAUCAUUCUUAAACUUCAUGAUUUUGAAUCUGAAUUUUUCAAAGCUUCCAACGAGAUUGGAAGAACACUCAAUCAUGAGAGAAUACAUUUUCACAGAUUAAAUUCGUUUAUCGUAGUGAAAGUACACUAUUUCAGGAUUCGAAUAACAAAGAGCAUGCAUGCUUUAAGGAAGAAGUAAAACGAAGAACGCGAUGAGAAAAGAGAGAGGGAGGGGAAAAAAGGAGAGAAAGACUGAAAAUCCGCAAGAGACUCGACCCGUUCUCAAGAUCCAUAUGCAAUCCCAGGCCUGGAAAUACGUGAGACAGCGUCGAGGGCAACGCCGUUCUCCUUUGGAGUUUCUGCACGUGCAACCACGGGGACCUGGUGUCGGGAAAUCAAGUUCAAUGGCGUCUCGUUGGACGAGCAUCGAUCCCCGUCCGCAUACGAGCACGUUUUCGUGAACGCGACGACGGGACACAAUCUAUUCCGAGGAACUGAAAGUUCAACAAGGAUUUUCAGGAGGCUUGUAUCACAUCAUACAUGAUUCGUUCAGGAUCCAUGAAAAUCGUUUAUUAAUUAUAUAUAGAGAAAAAUAGAAAGAUCAUUUUUUAUUUUUCAACCUUUGAGGUAGGGUUCUUUUAAUAAUAUUUUUAACCAGCCUGUUGAUUAAUUAAGUCCAUGGAUUGAAUAUUCACCGUUUUUUAAAAAUGGUAAUUGGACUUAUACGUUGGGGAUAAUUGUUGAAUUUGUUGCAGUUUUCAUUCCUUUUUUUAAUUUGUGUUUGGCCUGAAUAGUUAUUAUGUAUGGAAUAGGUUAUUGGGAUACUAAUUAGUAUUUUAUAUCUGCAAUUUGAGGUACUUUUAAUGGAAGUUUCAAGUUUUAGAAUUGUUGAUAUUUAAUUUAAUGACUUUGAUCAAUCAAUAUAGAACUUUUUACAGAAAUUGGCUCAAAAUAUAAGAAAGCAAUUCAAUGUACAUAAGAAAAUUAUAAGUAAUUUAUUAUAUAAUUUUUUAAAUAUGAGUAAGAUGAUUUAUUAUAGUAAUAAUAAAUAAGUUUUAUUUUUAUACACUAACUUUUGUGUUUGUUUUGGCCUUUAGAAUCGACCCUUUAAAGAUGUCACUCGAAUAAAUUAACACCAUGUAGAAGUAUCCCCAAGAAACAUAAUACAGAUGCCUCAUUAAGGGUUCAAGCAACCCUUGCUGAUAGAGCGUAAACCUGGCAUCUUCUUUCCACGGAAUAUUCAUAUCUACGGCUUCCAAACUUUAACACGUGCUCUGUACUACACCACGCAUAACAAGAUCCAAUUAUCAACAUGUCGAACUUAAUUCUCAAUUCUAAUAAAGGAAGUGCAUUCAACCAUCUCAUCCAUAAUCAAAAUAUUCUUCUUUAUAUUUGUAGAAAACGAAGAAUUUAAUUUACAAGAGUUGAUGAGCAGAAAUCAAAUUGAAGAGAACACAAAUUUAUACAAAAAGUUCUAUAACUUUAGAUAGAAUCUCAAUAAAGAAUUAUACCAUUAAAAAUCAUACAGCAUAACUUUAUUGCCACGCAAAUACCAUCGUCCUCCACUCUAUGUCGCCCACUUGUUCCCAGCCACGUCGUAUGAUACAGGUUGCCUCUUCCGUGUGAACUCUAUCCACGCCAGAUCUCUCUAUUUAAACGAAUUUGUCCGACAUACUGUAACAUGGUCCUAUGCAAGCUAUGACGAAAAACAGGUAUAUACUUGACAUGUGAUAAAUCUCUCUAAAAGAACUCUUUCAAAGCAUUAAGAGGAUAAUAUCAAAACUGUACGUACUUACUAUGUCAUUCAUUUUAUGAUUACAGAUGAAAGAGAUUUUUAUAUAGGAAGAAGUACGAUUAAAUUUGAUUUUUUAUCGUCACUUUUAUUAUUGUCACGAGAAAACAAAAGACAUAACAUAAUGUGUGUUUUUAAAGGAAGAUAAGAAAAAAAAUAUGAAAAUUCUCAAGUUUAAAGAUAACAAAUGUUUAAUGAUUAGAUUAAAAUAGUUUAUUAAGAAAGAAGAAAGAGAAAAAUUUUAAUCAAUUUAGAUUAAAAAUUAAAUUUAUUGUACGGAUGAAAAAGAUUAAUAAAAUUGAUAGAGCAAAAUAUCUAAUUUCAGAUGUGAUAAUACUAUGAAUUUAAUAUUUAAAUUUAAAUUAUAAUUUGUCAAUAAUUAUUAAAAGAGAAAGGAAUAACUUGAACCGUCAAAAUUCCAUUAAAGAUCAGUAAAAUAUCUUUCAAAUGUUUUUCCAAUCUUGAAGAUAAUAUAACAUAUACUUUUAUACAUAAGUAUAAGUAUAUGAAUCAGCUUAUAUAUGGCAAAGGAAUGAUAAACUGUGGUCUUUAAACUGAUACCCGGUUACAAAUGAGUCUGCAAUAAGCAUUAGAGAUAAUAUUUCGUCUUAUCUUCAUCUGCUUUGAAAUGCAGGAUUAAUGGACAUAAUGUGAAUCAGCCUGUAGAUGCACCUACGAGUAUAUUCGCCGGGCAGGCACUUGGCGUUACAAAUGCAGUCGGAGGAGCAUGACACGCCUACGCUUUACUAAGCCCACACGAGCACAGGGCCGUAGAUAUUGUGACCCAAGUGUCACAUCUUGGAAUGUUAUUCAUCAACUAGUCGUAUUCGUAACAGGAAUGUUACGAAUUACGAGGAUACAGUUAUUUUCAAGCGAGUAUUAAUAAAACUGUCAUUAUAAGUGAUGAUCACGUACAAUAACCUUGUAAGAUUAAUUAAGAGAUUCACAUUCGAUGACAAAUGUAGCCAUGCAAAAAAAAGAAAAUAA